rnacentral:misc_RNA from 1 species
AAAAUGCGAUAAGUAGUGUGAAUUGCAGAAUUCAGUGAAUCAUCGAAUCUUUGAACGCACAUUGCGCCCCUUGGUAUUCCAUGGGGCAUGCCUGUUCGAGCGUCAUUUGUACCCUCAAGCUCUGCUUGGUGUUGGGUGUUUGUCCCCGUCUCCGCGCGUGGACUCGCCCCAAAGUGAUUGGCAGCCGGCGUACUGGUCCCGGAGCGCAGCACAUGUCGCGCAAACGAGUGCCUUGGUACGGCGGCGUCCAUAAGCCCCUCUCUCACGCUCUUGACCUCGGAUCAGGUAGGGAUACCCGCUGAACUUAAGC